rnacentral:miRNA from 10 species
AGCAGUGGAUGACUACUGGUA